GAUGAACGCUGGCGGCGUGCCUAAUACAUGCAAGUCGAGCGAACGGACGAGAAGCUUGCUUCUCUGAUGUUAGCGGCGGACGGGUGAGUAACACGUGCAUAACCUACCUAUAAGACUGGGAUAACUUCGGGAAACCGUAGCUAAUACCGGAUAAUAUUUUGAACAGCAUGGUUCAAAAGUGAAAGACGGUCUUGCUGUCAACUUUCGAUUGAUCCGCGCUGCAUUAGCUAGUUGGUAAGGUAACGGCUUACCAAGGCAACGAUGCAUAGCCGACCUGAGAGGGUGAUCGGCCACACGGGAACUGAGAGACGGACGAGACUCCUACGGGAGGCAGCAGUAGGGAACCGUACGCAAUGGGCGAAAGCAUAACGAAGCAACGACGCGUGAGUGAUGACGGUCUUAGGAGCGUAAAACUCUGGUAUUAGGGAAGAACAGAUGUGUAAGUAACUGUGCACAUCUUGACGGUACCGAAUCAGAGAGCAACGGCUAACUACGUG
rnacentral:rRNA from 1 species